UAAAGUAGGAUAAUGUGACACAUUCACUGCAAAGUUUAGUGUGCCAGUGAUCCAUGAUUCAAUCCAAGGCUGAUACAAUAGUAUGAUAAAGUAGGAUAAUGUGACACAAUCACUGCAAAGUUUAGUGUGCCAUGGAACCAUGAUUCAAUCCGAGGCUGGUACAAUGGUAUGAUAAAGUAGGACAAUGUGACACAUUCAUUGCAAGGUUUAGUGUGCCAGUGAUCCAUGAUUCAAUCCAAGGCUGAUACAAUAGUAUGAUAAAGUAGGAUAAUGUGACACAAUCACUGCAAAGUUUAGUGUGCCAUGGAACCAUGAUUCAAUCCGAGGCUGGUACAAUGGUAUGAUAAAGUAGGACAAUGUGACACAUUCAUUGCAAGGUUUAGUGUGCCAGUGAUCCAUGAUUCAAUCCAAGGCUGAUACAAUGGUAUGAUAAAGUAGGAUAAUGUGACACAUUCACUGCAAGGUUUAGUGUGCCAGUGAUCCAUGAUUCAAUCCAAGGCUGAUACAAUAGUAUGAUAAAGUAGGAUAAUGUGACACAAUCACUGCAAAGUUCAGUGUGCCAUGGAACCAUGAUUCAAUCCGAGGCUGGUACAAUGGUAUGAUAAAGUAGGACAAUGUGACACAUUCAUUGCAAGGUUUAGUGUGCCAGGGAUCCAUGAUUCAAUCCAAGGCUGAUACAAUGGUAUGAUAAAGUAGGAUAAUGUGACACAUUCACUGCAAGGUUUAGUGUGCCAGUGAUCCAUGAUUCAAUCCAAGGCUGAUACAAUAGUAUGAUAAAGUAGGAUAAUGUGACACAAUCACUGCAAGGUUUAGUGUGCCAGUGAUCCAUGAUUCAAUCCAAGGCUUGCUUGUCCUAUCUGCAGUAAAACUUUCUUCUUAUUUAUCACAAUGCACAUUAAAAUAUUAAUUGAUCAAGUCUAACACAGGUGAACUUCCAAGCGAAUAUUUCACCCAGUUAAGGUACAUCGCCAUGUCACCAUUUAGUAUAAGUAGGUGUGUUUACACUAAAAAAUGUAUUCUGAAUACAGACGAACAAGUGCAACUGGGAAGGUUAAAAGGCCUGGCAGGACCCAAAUAUUUACAAAAUAAAUACAUGUAUGUACCGGUAUAUAAAUUAAGGAUGUUCGUUAAUCUUGUUUUUGACUUUUUGUCAAAUAGUUGGAAUCCUCUGGAUUUAUCUAUGUAAUACCAUGAAAAAUUUUGCCUACUAUUAAACCCCUACUUAUUAUUUCAUGAUUUUAUUACACAUAGUUUAAAAAGCCAUUUUUUUAAAUCUUUUAAAUUGCUUGUUAUUUUUUCAUAAUUUUUUUUAAGAAAAAAGGAGCCAAUGUUCAAUGUAUGAAAAGUCUAGAGAGAAUCAUUUUCCACCAAAUUUUCAAUGGCUUAUAUCUGGACUUUUAAUUUUUUUCUGCUUUUUUAGUUCCCUUGUGUAUAUACUGUCAAUUUAUAACAGUCUUGUAAAAAGCUUGUUAU